GGGUGGGUCCCACUCCUGGGUCCUACUCGCGUGGUCGGUUCGCUUCUGUUUUGAGCUGUGUUUGUUCUAGAUCUAAAGUCAACACCUAACGGGAUCUAGGGAGAGAAAGAAGAUUUGAGGGGAGGGAGGGGUUUGGGUGGUGCUGCCAUGAUGAGCCGGGAGAGGAAGAAGAAGAUUGGACAGGGGAGGGAUGGGGAUGGCGGGGAGAGGAGGGCAGGUCACCUCGCCGCGGUGGCAUGGGAUGGGACGGUGCGCGACGAGGUGAAGCAGUGAUGCAGUCGGGCUAGGGCGCCCGAUCAGAGCGAGUGGGGGUAGGGACAGGUAAAGAUCGAUGCCAUCCCGAUCAGCUGGAUGUUGACCUCACUUCCGAUCUGUAUGACUUCCACGAGGUCCAUGGAUUACAUCGGCGCUCUCUAAGCUGCCGGCGAGCGCAGCCGCCGCCUCCUCCGCUUCAAUGCGGAGGCCAUUCGUGGACCGGCUAACUAGACUAUAAGAAGCUUUCUAAGCUGCCCGGUGAGCGUAGCCCCUGCAUCCUCCGCCUCAACGCCGAGGCUAUCCGUCGACCGGGAAACUAGACUAUCAGCUCUCUUGGUGGGCAUUUGUGGCUCCAUGUUUGACCAUUGGGCAGAGGCGUAGAGCUCUCCGCUGACCUGGGGUGCCCCACCCUGUCUUGCAGCAUAUCACGUUCCCUGGGCCUUCUACUAGAUAUACACCCGGCCUGGCCAGCAGAAACUAGCCUCGAACACGAAGUUGAUGAACCAGCAUGAGAAGGUGGAAGGGACUACUGAAGAGGGCUCCUUUGGAUGUCAUAGAGAGUUGCCUGAGUUCGAGCAUCCCUUUUCUUCGUUGUAGAACAUGUGAGUGUCCUGAAAUCUUUGGCUAAAAUUGUAUCACACAUGUAUUUCUUGGUACAAGCAGGAGAUGUGUUACUGUCCAAGGUGCCUGUGAACACAAAAUUUUCAUCAGUGUUGUUUGAAGGGAUAGGCAAUACAUUUUUGUUUAAUGGGUUGGAUAGACGCAUUUAUCAUACGAUAAAGAGCACAUUUAAGUUACA